UGGUAACCAACCAUAGCAACGAGCGGGGGAUGAAUAUCGUCUGGCUGAGGACGGCGAAAAAGCUUUACGUCAUUCCCUCGGUGGCUGUCGAACUAGUAAUACGUGAGCAAGUUUAUAUUAUCAAUAUAAGAGAUAUAAUAGACAAAUCGAAGGUUCAGUUCCAAAAGUCUUGAAGUAUUGCAAAGGAGUCCAAUUGACUUACAUUUGAAUUUAAUUCCAAAGAAGAUACUCGAAAUUCAACUACGCACAACGUGGUAAUGAAUUAUUCGACAUCCGAAGUGAUACAUAUUUACAUCGGUACCUCCUGUUCUUCCGACCAUAAGUUCUACAUGGAUAGUACAAAGGCUGUGUUUACCGAAAGGUGGACAAUAAGAGAGCUUUGAUGUUUACUCGCCGGCGUAGAAAGGAAGACUGAUACGGUAAUCGUUCAAAUCAGUCAUUUGUUGACUUUACACAUUGACAACAACCACCAUUUCAAAAUUUAUGUCUAAUAGAAAACAAAUUAAAAUUAUUUGAUAUUUCAUCGAUGUUCCGUGGCGUGUAACGUUUAACGGAAUCUACUGCUGCUUAAACAAUGGAUAGUUUAACUUGUCGUACACCUAUAUCGUUUAAAUGAGUUUAAAAUUAUCAAAAGUAUUAAGUUUGAAGUUUGCACCUUUAGAAAGAGACAACAAGUGUACAAGUCAUUCAAAAGCUCCUUUUGUUGACAUUACACGCAGCGACGCAACUCAGAUGCAACCAUCUCGAGAUCCAUAUUAUAAAUUAUUGAAAUUUUCGUUUAAAACUACGUUAUGUUUCAUUGGACUUCAAUUUUCUCGCUUAAUGUUUAAGCGAGUAUACUAUCGUUUAAGUAUUACUAUCAUGGAAAUAUUUUAUCUAUCGAUUAUAUAUUAUUUCUAAAAAGUCAUCAAGUUGAAGUGCUAUAAAGAUUAUUAUAAAAAUAAUAUUCAGUUUAUCAAAUUACCAAGAAAAAUGAUACAAAUUCUUCGUUCUUUAGGUAGAGAGAUAAAAAGCAUGGAAUGAUUUCUAUUUUGAUAUUCUUCCGUAUUUAUUCUUUGUACUUGGCGUCCUCUCGGACGUUAGCUAAUAACAACACGGCGGCACUAAGUCGCGCAAACGUGGUAUAUAGUGUAACAUACUUCUUUCCAUAGAAUCGAACCAAAUUUUCGAAAUAGAAUCGAAAUUCUAUUCCAUAUAAUUUUUUACGAUGACAAGUUUUGUAGCAAUUUUUGUACACUAUUUUUAUUGUUAUCAUUAUCUAUGAGAUUUCCUUAUUUUUAUGAUGAACUCUCUGAGAGGACAUUUGAGUAUAAGGGGUUAAAAAGAAAAAUAAAGCAUGAAUUAAAAUCUAAGAAGUAAUUGAAAUUAAAGGAAAAAUAGUCGUUACAAAAUAGUCUUAAAAAAAAAAGCAAACGAAUAUAUAUUCAGAAAGUGUAUCAAAUAGUUACACUUUCAUAUUUCUUUAUGCGUGCAGUAGAUGUAAACCCAAUUGUUGAUCUAUAUUUACUGUUCUCCUAAUUUUUCAGAAAUUCUCUCAAAAAUUUAUUAAUCAUGGAAAAAAGUCAAAUAAGAAUAAAAUUUCAUUUCUUAGUUGAGUUCUCAAUACAUAUUUGUUUGCUUCUUUCUUUCAUUGGUGUUUAUUUAUUCAUAUUUAUUUAUUUCUUUCGAAGAGAACAUUGACAUCAAGAAAGUAGUAUUCAAAAGAUUCUAUUUAGAAGGAAAAAUUAUUUUACGGAAAGACUAUCUUCCUACAACAUUUAUAACUUAUGGUUACAGCCACGUCAAUCGGUUAGUCAAAUAACGAUAAAUGAAUAAUUAAAUUUUAAUAUAUAGUAAUAGUACAAAUAUGUAUAUAAUAUAAAGUCUAAUAGAUUCUUGCUAUGUUAAAUGGUGUAUUGUAUUAUAUGCAUAUUGAAAAAUUAAAUCAUACGCAUAAUGCAUUCGGAAAAUACAAAUAUUAUUUUACUAAAAAUAUAAUAAAAUAACUACUACAUGCUUGGUUAUAUAUAAUAAGAAAUAAACGAUUGCAGAAAUAUAAUACUAUCAUACGACCUAACUAGUUUAGAAUGUGAUACACGCGAUGUUGUAUAAUAUUAUGCAAUAUUAUAUAUGCAAUAUUAUAUAUAUUAUAUAAUUGAAUUGAAUUUUUAAAUUCUUUGAUUAGGAAUACAUUUGUAGGAAAACCUAUUCGUUCCUAUGAAAGAAUUGAAUCGGUAACGUAGUCUAUUGUUUCGCAAAAGACCUAACCGGCUAAUUAAAUGAUACAAUUAAAUAGGUUAUUGAAUUAUAUUGCUUAUCCUAUUAUCCAAUUGUUUACUCGCUUUGAUGAGGGGAAAAUAAAUGAAAACGUUCCAUUCUUA